UGGGGAAUAUUGGACAAUGGGCGCAAGCCUGAUCCAGCCAUGCCGCGUGAGUGAUGAAGGCCUUAGGGUUGUAAAGCUCUUUCGGCGGGGACGAUAAUGACGGUACCCGCAGAAGAAGCCCCGGCCAACUUCGUGCCAGCAGCCGCGGUAAUACGAAGGGGGCUAGCGUUGCUCGGAAUCACUGGGCGUAAAGGGCGCGUAGGCGGACAUUUAAGUCGGGGGUGAAAGCCCAGGGCUCAACCCUGGAAUUGCCUCCGAUACUGGGUGUCUCGAGACCGGAAGAGGUGAGUGGAACUGCGAGUGUAGAGGUGAAAUUCGUAGAUAUUCGCAAGAACACCAGUGGCGAAGGCGGCUCACUGGUCCGGUUCUGACGCUGAGGCGCGAAAAGCGUGGGGAGCAAACAGGAUUAGAUACCCUGGUAGUCCACGCCGUAAACGAUGGAUGCUAGCCGUUGGCAGGCUUGCCUGUCAGUGGCGCAGCUAACGCUUUAA
rnacentral:rRNA from 1 species